UGGAGGCAGCAGUGGGGAAUCUUGCACAAUGGGGGAAACCCUGAUGCAGCGACGCCGCGUGAGCGAUGAAGUCCUUCGGGGCGUAAAGCUCUUUCGGCAGGGAAGAACGAUGACGGUACCUGCAGAAGCAGCUGCGGCUAACUACGUGCCAGCAGCCGCGGUAAUACGUAGGCAGCAAGCGUUGUUCGGAGUUACUGGGCGUAAAGGGUGUGUAGGCGGUGGUUUAAGUUUGGUGUGAAAUCUCCCGGCUCAACUGGGAGGGUGCGCCGAAUACUGAACGACUCGAGUGCGGGAGAGGAGAGUGGAAUUCCUGGUGUAGCGGUGAAAUGCGUAGAUAUCAGGAGGAACACCGGCGGUGUAGACGGCUCUCUGGACCGCGACUGACGCUGAGACACGAAAGCGUGGGUAGCAAACAGGAUUAGAUACCCGUGUAC
rnacentral:rRNA from 1 species